rnacentral:lncRNA from 1 species
AACCGCGCAUGGAGGCCAUUGCAGCUAGGGUUUGACCUAAGCCAUCUCCUAGACAACAUCGAAGACUUGUGGUGUCAGCUCCCUCUGGUGAAUGCCCUAGGUUCCGUCAAGUUCUAGUGGAAGGAUGCACAUACCGAUGGAGAGCAGCGAUAUUUAUAGUCCAGAGGUGUCAUGGGGCGAAGGGCACGUUGAUCGGGGCCGAAAACGGUCCAGGCCGACCCCCAUAGUACGAUCA